CCCCUCGUUACGCCGAGUUGCCUAGCAACACACCCAAACCAGCCUAAUGAAAACCUGGGGUUACUUCCACAGUACAGUAAUGUUCAUACACGCAGUGUGUUUCUAGGAUGUCGGUAAGCAACGCCACAACACUUCCUCUUAAGAAAUACUACUAACAUUUACAGCCACCUCGCAUGUGUGAUCUGGCAGAGGGCAGACAACACCCCAGAGCACAAGAUCUCCAGCGGCUCAGGAAUCAGAAAGGGCUUUUUGUGUUAUCCUAGAGCUUCACUGACCAGAUAAACAGCAGACAAGAAUCAUUAACGCCUGGUACCAAGCAAGAAAACUCCACAUGAGAGAAAGCCAAUUCUUACCGAAGCCCUGUGUAUCUGAAAACAUGAUUGUGUUUUAUACUGUCUCAUUUUUCAUAUUCAAGAUAUAUGCAGCUAUAACCUAAGCAAUGCUGUACAUAAAUAUUAUUCUUGA